rnacentral:misc_RNA from 1 species
GCCACCCACACCCACCGGAACCUAUCUAUUUGUAUGUUCUUCUUACAAAUCCUUCCAUUGCUGCUUUGAUUGGGGUCCCUUUUUCCAGUUCCUCCUAUAGUUUGUGUACAAGCAUUAUGUCCCUAAUUGGCUUUACACUUGCAGCUUCCAUACACUUGCAGUAUCAUUUUGGCAGCAUGCUGAGUUUGCUUAUACUGUAGCUCCAUCACUGCAGUGCCCCAUCACAUCAUUUUUUA